rnacentral:rRNA from 1 species
GACGAACGCUGGCGGCGUGCUUAACACAUGCAAGUCGAACGGAAAGGCCCCUUUGGGGGUACUCGAGUGGCGAACGGGUGAGUAACACGUGAGUAACCUGCCCUUGACUUCGGGAUAACUUCAGGAAACUGGGGCUAAUACCGGAUAGGAAUCCUUGCUGCAUGGUGGGGGUUGGAAAGCUUCGGCGGGUUUGGAUGGACUCGCGGCUUAUCAGCUUGUUGGUGGGGUAGUGGCUUACCAAGGCUUUGACGGGUAGCCGGCCUGAGAGGGCGACCGGCCACAUUGGGACUGAGAUACGGCCCAGACUCCUACGGGAGGCAGCAGUGGGGAAGAUUGCACAAUGGGCGGAAGCCUGAUGCAGCAACGCCGCGUGCGGGAUGACGGCCUUCGGGUUGUAAACCGCUUUCAGCAGGGGCGAAGCUUGUGGUGACGGUACCUGCAGAAGAAGCACCGGCUAACUACGUG